UACAGAGGUCUCAAGCGUUGUUCGGAUUCAUUGGGCGUAAAGGGUGCGUAGGUGGCGCCGUAAGUCAGGUGUGAAAUCUCGGGGCUCAACCCCGAAACUGCACUUGAUACUGCGGUGCUCGAGUACUGGAGAGGAGAUUGGAAUUUACGGUGUAGCAGUGAAAUGCGUAGAUAUCGUAAGGAAGACCAGUGGCGAAGGCGAAUCUCUGGACAGUUACUGACACUGAGCACGAAGGCCAGGGGAGCAAACGGG
rnacentral:rRNA from 1 species